CCUACGGGGUGCUGCAGUGAGGAAUAUUGGUCAAUGGACGAGAGUCUGAACCAGCCAAGUAGCGUGAAGGAUGACUGCCCUAUGGGUUGUAAACUUCUUUUAUAUGGGAAUAAAAUGUUCCACGUGUGGGAUUUUGUAUGUACCAUAUGAAUAAGGAUCGGCUAACUCCGUGCCAGCAGCCGCGGUAAUACGGAGGAUCCGAGCGUUAUCCGGAUUUAUUGGGUUUAAAGGGAGCGUAGGUGGAUUGUUAAGUCAGUUGUGAAAGUUUGCGGCUCAACCGUAAAAUUGCAGUUGAAACUGGCAGUCUUGAGUACAGUAGAGGUGGGCGGAAUUCGUGGUGUAGCGGUGAAAUGCUUAGAUAUCACGAAGAACUCCGAUUGCGAAGGCAGUUCACUGGACUGCAACUGACACUGAGGCUCGAAAGUGUGGGUAUCAAACAGGAUUAGAUGCCCCAGUAGUC
rnacentral:rRNA from 1 species